rnacentral:rRNA from 1 species
UACGUAGGGUCCGAGCGUUUGUCCGGAAUUAUUGGGCGUAAAGGGCUCGUAGGCGGUUUGUCGCGUCGGGAGUGAAAUCAUCUGGCUUAACUGGGUGCUUGCUUUCGAUACGGGCAGACUAGAGGUAUGCAGGGGAGAACGGAAUUCCUGGUGUAGCGGUGAAAUGCGCAGAUAUCAGGAGGAACACCGGUGGCGAAGGCGGUUCUCUGGGCAUGAUCUGACGCUGAGGAGCGAAAGUGUGGGGAGCGAACAGG